AGCACUUUGUGGAUGUCUCUGCCAUGACGUCUGAUGUGAUUGCUAAAAUGAUUAAUGAAGACAAAAUUCAAAUACUAAUAAAUUUGAAUGGUUAUACUAAGGGAGCUAGAAAUGAAAUAUUUGCCAUGCAGCCUGCACCUAUUCAGGUUUCGUACAUGGGGUUUCCAGGAACAACAGGGGCCACUUACAUAGAUUAUUUAGUGACUGAUGAGUUUGUUUCGCCUUUACGUUAUGCACAUAUUUACUCUGAGAAGAUCGUCCAUCUCCCACACUGUUACUUUGUUAAUGAUUAUAAGCAGAAAAAUCUGGAUGCGUUGGAUCCAAAUUGCCAGCAUAAACGUUCGGAUUAUGGGUUACCUGAAGGGAAAUUCAUUUUUGCUUGCUUUAAUCAGUUGUACAAAAUGGAUCCAGAGAUCUUCAACACCUGGUGUAAUAUUCUCAAACGCGUGCCAAACAGUGCACUUUGGCUUCUCAGAUUCCCAGCUGCUGGUGAAAUGAGACUUCGAGCAUAUGCUGUCGCCCAAGGAGUGCAACCAGAGCAAAU
rnacentral:misc_RNA from 1 species